UAAAAGGUAGCGUGAUGUUAAGGACUUAGUUAAAAAUCCUGCAUCCGUGGAAUAGCAGACUCAAUAUUUGGACCAGAUAGACUAGAUACAGAGUCUGAACUCUAAUCUACAGAAUUCAGGGGCAUGCCAGUAAGUGUUCUAACAAGCACUCCUCAGGCAGGGAGGUUGCUGGGGGCCUUUACUGGUAGCUGGUGCUGAUUUCAUGAAAUAGUGCCAUGUGGUAACGGUAGCUUAACUGUGUUUUGCAGUAUUUACUUCAGAUUGCUCCCCCACACACACAUGCAGCUGAAGACCUCCCAUGCUCUCCCCCUUAGGCCUGCCCUCACCAGGGACAGCCUCUCUCACCGGUCAUUGUUUGCACUGAACCCCUUAGGUAUGUACCUUACAGAAUGUGUAGUGUCCUGUACUCACGUCCUGUAUUUUCCUGUUAGGGUGGAAAUAUCAGGAUCAGAUCUCUGAGUGUUAUUUAGAAGUGUAACCAUGUGGAAUAAGGAGCUCACUGGACCCAGACUUCUCAGGGUGCGCUGUGCUGUGCUAGCAUCUGGGAAACAGUGUUGUCCCUAGCUAUUACAUUUGCACAUCUUCCAGCUCAAGACGGCCCAGCGUGGAGGGGUGAGGCCAUGCAAGAAAGUGGAGAUGCUGACGGCACCCUUUUUUCGUCUGUGGCUACUUUGCACUUUUCCGUGCUCCUGCUCGUGCAGGAUAAGCAGGGAGCCCCCCUUACACCACUUUCCGGCCUUCACCCUGCUCAGUACGCCAGAGGUUCAUUAAUUACUUGCACUGUAUUAACCAGAGUCCCCUUGCCCUGUUGGCUUUUGCAGACGGGAGAGGCCAUUAGGCGAAGACGGGGCGGGAAGGAAGCGUUCAGGGUGUUUGUUUCUCCCCCCCGUCCCCCUGCCGGACCAUGGCCUGGGGCUGCACUGGGCCAUCCCCUUCCUCCACGGUCGGUUCUGGUGGUUUCAGUUCUGCACUCAGCCCGGACGGGAAGCAGGUGAGCGGGCGAUCAUCUGAAGAAGCACGAGGAAGCUCCGCGAGGGCGGAGAGCGAGGAGCCUUUACGACGUCACAGAGCCGUGGCGCGUGCUGACGUCAUCGCGCGGAGCCGUGUUCCUGUCUCACACGGUGCCCUGACGGGUGAGCGCGGCGGUGAAGGAAAUGUGCGAACCUGGGGAUGGUGGCAGUAGUGACCGGAUGACUGCCUCCAGUUGAGGAGGUUGAAGUGUCAGAACCUCCCUGGCGUGCUAUGAAGAGCCGGUAAGCGUCUUGUCCUAUGAACCCUCUGCUAGUGCUGUUCGUUCCGGCUCAACCCACCCAGCGGCCCGCCCACCCCAUGGAAGAGGUUUGGAAAGAAGGGUCAGAGAAGCUCCUAGACUCCUCUGAGGCCCUAGUGCCCAGCAUGUGAGGAAAAACCACUUCGGUGUCCGAGACGUCCCUUCGAGACUGUCCAUAUGGAACCUUCCUGUGUUGCUCGCCUCCUCCGCAGUGGAAGCGCACAGGCGGGGAGCGCUUGCCAAGACAGAAACAGGAGCCACACUCCCUCUUACUCGAUUUCGAACCCUGACGUUGUCACUGACACGCGGUGAUUGAAUCCCUCUGCACCCGACUUCUGUCAUCUGGAAAACGUGCCCCGCUUUCAGAGUUGCGGCGCCAUGGGCCUUGGGACGUUCGGAUCCCUGCCACUUCCCCGCCCCAUGCCAUGCGCCUUAGCCCAUCCUGUAGGAGGCAGAGUCCAGACCCAGCUGCGGGGUGAGCACUUUCCUAAAGCCUCCAGCAUGUGAGAGUGGCAGGAACAGGCACGUGAGGCAGGAAGGUGGGGGAAGCUAGCCCAGGAGAUGUGGUAUCAAGCCGGCCAGAGCUUCUCAAAUCCACUCAGCUGGGUGCUCAGCCCCCAGGACAUUCCCAGAGAGACCUUCCAGAGUUAUUGACCCUCAGAACCAUUUUUCCAGGAAAAGAGUGGCAAGCGUUUGCCAGCUGGAUUCUUGCCAGCUUAUGUUGCUUAUCAUUCAAAAUCUGUCCCCUGAGACAUUAACUGGCUUGUGCCCCUGGGGUGUGUGAUGGGGUCCCUGGAGAAGCCCGGGUGGAACCCCAGGGGGCAGAGCUACAGAGUCUUCUUCUGGAGACCACACCCGAGCCUCACUCCCACACGGGAAGGAGGAACGUGCAGAGACGAUGGGGGCUGGAGGUCUGGAGACAGCGUCACUGUGUGCUUUGUGUUCACAGGAAAAAUGUGAGCCCUUAUCCCCCGGCUCUGUCAGAGAAGUGAGGCCCAGGGCCAGGAUCUAGGGCACAGGCGGUGUCAGCUGGGUCAGAGACACUGUUCAGGGGAUCGACUCUCUUUGGGGUCAUGGCAGAGAGCAGCAGCACUGAUCCCACGGCUGAAAAGCCUUUCCUGGUCAUUCCUGUUGUCAGGACGCAGGCAGGCUAGAAUCUGGGCUGUGCUCAGGAGAGGCGCCCAUCCUGGGUUCGGACUCAGGAGUUAUGAUCUGAAGAGUUGGGGCUGCUCAGAAGCUGUUCUGGCGUGGAGAGGGAGCCUGAGAAGCCACAGCAACUUCCAGGAGCCCUAACAGCAGAGGCACCUGUGCCCAGGGGGACAAGUAUCUUCACAGGAUAGACCCAUUUUGUUGUAAAUUUUGGAUGCCGUUCCUAAUAUUUGCACAUUCCAGGUCUGGUCCUCCCAGCCUUCUUGGGGAUCCUGUGGGCUUCUCAUAUCAUGGGACACAGCGCCUUUACGUUUAAAUUAGCCAGGUUCUUUUAUCUAAAAACCCAAGGGACAUAGUGAUGACAGGAAGACAGGAAUGAGUGGCAGGGUCGUUUUUCGACAUGUUAACCAUUUCCCCCAUUUGCUCUGUCCCUUUCCAGGCAGGCGUGUCAUUGUGUGCUUAACCCCAGGGGCUUCUGGGACAGGAGCAAAGACCCCAUUUUGGUCCAUACUGUCGACUUGACUUAUGUUCCUGUCUUCCCUUGGAGAAGUUGUCACACUAUUGUCUAUGAUUAUGAAGGUGGAAUGCUUAAUUUUGGCAUAAAGCAAGCUGUGAGUGUUGGCUUUUGUGCCCUGAUGUGGGCUGUUGCCUAGAAUUUAAGGAGAGUUUAUAAUUUAGAGUUACUCAAGGAAAUUGGUUAUUCUUACUUGUUUUUUAAGGAUCGAUGAACGUUGUGCACCCUACACAGGUCUGUUUGGGUAUUGAAGAAAAGAAAUGCUCCUCGGUUUACCUAAUCCAGUGUAACAGAGAGGCUCCAUAGAAAAAAAUGUCAAACAUGUUCUUUCCUGUGUCAUUUUAACUUUAAAUUAUUUUAAUCCAACUUAAUUUUUUAGCCAUUUUUAUUACUCAAGUUUAAUUUUACCCCUGUAAUUGGACCUUUUUUGAUGUUAUUAAAAAAAGGAAUAUUUACUUUGAAGACAGAA